rnacentral:misc_RNA from 1 species
GAUGAAGAACGCAGCGAAAUGCGAUAAGUAAUGUGAAUUGCAGAAUUCAGUGAAUCAUCGAAUCUUUGAACGCAUCUUGCGCUCCUUGGUAUUCCUUGGAGCAUGCCUGUUUGAGUAUCAUGAGCAAAUCUCAAAGUCAAUUCCUUUUGUUAAUUCAAUUGGUUUUGCUUUGGACUUGGAGGUCUUGCAGAUUUUCACAGUCUGCUCCUCUUAAAUGCAUUAGCUGGAUCUCAGUAAUUAUGCUUGGUUCCACUCGGCGUGAUAAGUAUCACUCGCUGAGGACACUGUUAAAAAGGUGGCCAGGAAAAUACUGAUUGAACCGCUUCUAACGGUCUAUUAAGUUAGACAAUUACCCUUAAGUUUGAUCUCAAAUCAGGUAGGACUACCCGCUGAACUUAAGCAUAUCAUAAGCGGAGGA